rnacentral:lncRNA from 1 species
CCCCAAACGCCCUCGUGCGGGCGGCAUAGUCAUGGGCCUACAGGUGUGAGGGCAGCACUGGAGCAGCUGUGCAGGCCGGUGGCACACGCACUUCUGGACACAGGCGCCGUGGGCAGCACCUCGGCGCCCGGAGGGACGUGGCAGCCCUGCAGCUGGCAGCCGCAGAGAGGGUGUGGCACACAGUGCCCGCCUCCAGGGCGAAGCACUCGCGGCAGAAGCAGCCGCCGUGCACUGGCACAGGCAGGGCGCCGAGGAGCGCAGGCCGGCACAGGUGGCGGGGCAGGGUGGCCCGCAGAAGUUGCAGUAGCUGUUGGCUGGACACGCCACACCUGGGGGAGGGGAAAGAUGGACUGGAGGCCACCCCCUGAAGCCCUGAUCCCUGGAGCAGAGGGAGAAAACCUAGGAUGGCUGCAGGACAGGGAGGGGCAGGGACGGACUGCGGGAUGCUUCCUGAACCGCCAGUGUCCCUGGACUUACUACCAUCAGAUAUAUAUUUAUUUUUACCGUCUGACUCCCACUGUCAUAAGGAUCACAUGGGUCUUCACUUUCCGGGCUGCUAAGCUCCACCUCCACGCGGUGCAAGAAGGACACGUGCUGGCUGCGGAAGUUCCUGUUGGAAGCCUUCACAGCGAAGGAGAAGCCCCCGGGGUGGGGUCCGGCCCACAGGGAUGGACCAGGCGGUAGGUGCAGGUGCCUUGGAAGUGGCCACAGCCCCAUCAAAGGUGACGUAAUGAGGGUCUCUGGUGGCCACGCAGGUGCCUAGGGGGCUCUGGCAGCCCAGCCGGCCACCUGCAGACCACAGACCUCCCCAACGGGGCACCUAGCUGGGCCACAGUCAAAAUGCCCAGGUCUGUCACAGCUGCAGCAGCGGGUGUGUCAGCUCAGCCAGACCAGGUCUCCUCCCUAGGGACAGAGGCCAGAUGAGCGUCCCCUGCCCGGCCCAGGCCAACCCGAACAGGGCGUGUGGAGGCCAGGGGCAGGCAGAAGUGGGGCCUGGCAGCUGGAUCAGAAAGAGCAGAGGCCGUGGGGCUGGCUCUGCCUGAGAAUAGGCAUGAAGGGGUGCUCAGAGGCAACAACAGGGGGUGCCUGAUGCUCAGGACAGGCCCAGAGGGCAGCAAACUAUGAGAGCCGUUUCCCUCAGCGGAAAACGGCCCAGAGUUAAGGACACAGUUUGGGGUCAGAGAAACCUGGAGUCCAGAGCCAGCUCUGUCCCUGAAAGCCCUGUUUGUCUGGUGGCCUCGGUGGCCUCCCUGCACCUCAGGGUAGGCAGGGCCGUGCGAAGUCAGUGUGCUCGUGUGCGGAGGCUCUUAGCGCCCAGCUGGCCCCCAGGACUCUGCCGGCACACGUUAGCCAAUAUCGUUGUUAAUAACAUGCUGGUCCAGGGCUUGGUACAUAAUUUGAGAUCUCGGAAGAUGUCACCUGUUAUUAUGACAACAGGCUUACACACACAGUGAAUGACCAAAACGUAUUCACCAGUGCCAUUCGUAUCUGUUGCUAAAUACUCAGCCCCGGGGCACAGCCAAUGCCCAGGACAUAUGGCCAUUGUCAUCAUCAUCAUUCCCAUACAGAGAGACACGUAGUGAACGCCCGAAGUGUAUUAGCCUUUGUUGUUGUUGUUGUUAUUAAAAUGCUAGGCCCAGGCACGGACACAAAGGAAAUGCCCAAUACAUGGUAAGGAUCACUACCAGCAGUAGGAUGGAGCCUGACAUAGGUCAGGACUCGGGCGCUGGCCACUAAAGAAACAGUACCAACAACAAUAAUGAGGUAUUUAGUACAGACUCUGGUACUUACGCAUGCCAAAUGAUUUUAGCCGUUAUGAUUAUUUUUUUUAUUAUUGUUAUUUUUGCCAUUAUUAUUACCAAAGUGUUUAGUUGGGGCAUUUAGCAGGCAUUCAGUAAACGAUGGCUGAUAAAAACAACCAUACUAACAAUAGUGAUGAUGAUAAGAAGCACUCAGCACCUAGCGUUGCGAACAGGGAAUGACUUUAGCAAACAGUAGGAGUCAUAGUGGAAUCAUCAACGAUGAAGACUAACUGGUAACACACGGGAAAUCCUCAAUCCGCCACCCACACCCGUUGAGUAUGGGUGUCCUGGAUUGGGGACCCAUCCCUGGCAUGUUUUGGGGAUUUGUGACCCUCCCGAUGGCCGGACCCGUCUCGGGAGCGGCCCCGCUGGGCCCACACACCACCGAGCCCAAAGGCGCGUGGUGGUGCGGCACUAGGCGGAGCCGCAGAGGCAGCGGCUCAGCGCCAGGAGCUGGGGGCGACUGAGCCGGGUGGACGGAGGGAAUGCAAGGCUGAGGCCAAGGCUCCGCAAGCCACCGGUGCCCCAGGUCCCUGCCUGGGAGCUUCAGGUCUGGGCUCUGUCCCACCCGCGUCCUGUUGCUUCCUCUCUCUGUCUCAGUCCCUCCAUCUCUAAAAUGGGCUCUUUAGUGCUGGCCUCAGCCUUGUUUUGAGGAUUAAGCAAGUUAAAACAAAUGGAGUGUUUGGGGCAGCCCCUAGCACAUCAGGAGCCCAGGAUCGACGUGACCUAUGUUGUCCCAGAGAGAGCCCCUGGUUGGUUAACCUUCCGGCUCCAUGAGCAGCGUCCCACCCCCUUUCCUCCUCCAAAGCUUCUGAGGGCCCCCUCCUGCCUGGGUGUCAGAGAUUCACACCUGGGUCUAACAUCAUGGGGGCAGGGCAUGCUUUUAGGGGCAUCCUGACCCCCAGGAUGGUCCCAUGGGGGCUUUGGGUGCUUUUGGUUGGGCAGGGGGGUGGUGCCCCCCAGAAAGCAUGCCCUGCGCCUGUGGCAACCCUUAUGUUCCAGCCUCUGCCAUCCAAACACUAGGAGCCGGCAGCGGCAGUAGGGGGAAGCGGGGCGGGGGGUGGACAAUGGGAAAGAUCUGAACGUAGACGGGUUUUUUGUGACAUCAGGGAAUUACUGUUCAUUUUGUUAGGUGUGAGCAAAUCAUAACCAUUUUUUUAAGUGCUGGUCUCUCAGAGACUCAUGCCAAAGUAUUUACGGGUUUUCGCAAUGUCUGGGGUUCGCCUCACCAAAGUAAGUAAACAAAGGGCGGAGCGGGCAGCUGGAGCAGGCUCGGCCGCAAGCUGCCUGGUGGACACGGGAGCAUUCAUGGUCUAUUCUCUCUCCUUUUGUUUAUGUUUGAAAAUUUCUAUAAUGAAGAAUUAAAGUAAAUAAAGAAAGAAUUGGAGGAUGUUGCCA